rnacentral:rRNA from 2 species
UACGGAGGGUGCGAGCGUUAUUCGGAAUUACUGGGCGUAAAGCGCGUGUAGGCGGCCAACCAAGUCUGAUGUGAAAGCCCUGGGCUUAACCUGGGAAGUGCAUUGGAAACUGGCUGGCUUGAGUACUGGAGAGGAAGGGGGAAUUCCCGGUGUAGAGGUGAAAUUCGUAGAGAUCGGGAGGAAUACCAGUGGCGAAGGCGCCCUUCUGGACGGUUACUGACGCUGAGACGCGAAAGCGUGGGGAGCAAAC